rnacentral:misc_RNA from 1 species
GAUGAAGAACGCAGCGAAAUGCGAUACUUGGUGUGAAUUGCAGAAUCCCGUGAACCAUCGAGUCUUUGAACGCAAGUUGCGCCCGAAGCCAUUAGGCCGAGGGCACGCCUGCCUGGGCGUCACACGUCGUUGCCCCCCCAUCUACUCCUUCGGGAUUGCGGGGGGCGGAUGAUGGCCUCCCGUGCGCCUCGUCGCGCGGUUGGCCUAAAUGCCAAGUCCUCGGCGACGCACGCCACGACAAUCGGUGGUUGCGAAACCUCGGUUGCCUGUCGUGUGCGGUCGUCGCGCAUCGAGGGCUCGAAAAAAUUGCCGGGCUUCGGCUCGACUUUCAACGCGACCCCAGGUCAGGCGGGGUUACCCGCUGGAUUUAAGCAUAUCAAUAAGCGGAGGA